CCUACGGGGUGCUGCAGUGGGGAAUAUUGGACAAUGGGCGAAAGCCUGAUCCAGCCAUGCCGCGUGUGUGAAGAAGGCCUUCGGGUUGUAAAGCACUUUCAGUGGGGAAGAAAGCCUUGGGGCUAAUACCCUCGAGGAAGGACAUCACCCACAGAAGAAGCACCGGCUAACUCCGUGCCAGCAGCCGCGGUAAUACGGAGGGUGCGAGCGUUAAUCGGAAUUACUGGGCGUAAAGCGCGCGUAGGCGGUCUGAUAAGCCGGUUGUGAAAGCCCCGGGCUCAACCUGGGAACGGCAUCCGGAACUGUCAGGCUAGAGUGCAGGAGAGGAAGGUAGAAUUCCCGGUGUAGCGGUGAAAUGCGUAGAGAUCGGGAGGAAUACCAGUGGCGAAGGCGGCCUUCUGGACUGACACUGACGCUGAGGUGCGAAAGCGUGUGUAGCAAACAGGAUUAGAUACCCGUGUAGUC
rnacentral:rRNA from 1 species